GGAUGAGGAAGCCCUGGACGGCGAAGAGGGAAUGCGCUUACUGCCCUGAGCCGGGCACUAGACAUGGUGAUGGUGACAAGUGUCAUGAUCUGCAGAGUCACACAAGUAAGAGCCAAGGAAAUUCGCGCCUCCUCUCCCAGGGUGUGAGCUGCUGAGGACACUGGGGACGGCGACGCAGAGCUGCAGAGCUGCACUUCUCAGCCCCAGGCUGAAGCCCAAGACCCAGGCGGCUCUUCGAGGUCCUUCUUGCUGUGUCCUCUCGUGGCGAAGGGCGUGGGGGACAGUGCGGCCUCCUGAGCCGCUUUGGGAAGGGCCUUCCUCCCCUCUACCAGGAGGGUCCCCGAGGCCGGCCAGCUCCACACGGCGACGCCUGGUUUCCUGGGGGCCACCUCCAGAGCACAGAGGCCACUGUGCAGAAAGAGGCCGGCAGAGUGACCGGCAGACAGCUGCGCCCCGAGCGCCCACUCCGUCCAACUUCAUGGACGCCCCCGAGUCACCUUCUUGGCUGAGACGCGGGUGACCCGGGGACGUGGAGGAGGGAGGCCCUGUCCUUGCCUCAUGCUGCUCCGGAUGCAGCUUCCCAAGCCGCUUCCAGGGCUCUGCGCCCUGCCCCGCCCAGCACAGGCCCCGGGGGCUGCCUCAAGGUAAGGCCUGGGGCCCAAAGUUCAGGAGCCACUCCGGUCCCGGGGAGCAGGUCUAGGAGCCCUUGGGGUGGCAGAUCCACGCGUGUGCAAGUCCCCAACAUAAAAUGACACAGCGUGUACAACCACAUAACCUGAGCGUGACCUCCCUGUGCUUCAGUCACCUCUAGGUUACCCAGGACACGGGACACCACGAAGCGUUCUGCGGCAUUGUUGGGAAGUAAGACAAGAGAACAGUCUGCUCAGCUCCGCACAGACAGCUUUGUCCGGAAGCUUCCGGUCCACGGUUGGUUGGAACCUCGGAUGCAGAACCCAGGGACGCGGAGGCUGAUGGGACCAUGCAGGUGGCAUCGUGCUUUCUGUCUGGCUGAAGGAAGAUGCUCCCCAGCCUGCGACUCCAGGCCCCCAGCCCCGAACAGCGCCCUGGGCCUUUGAGCACUUUCCCUGUGCCUGCCCACGCGGGAAUCUCCAGGACGCCACUCUGACCACACUGUGGCUCUCUCAUCAUGCCCUCGGGCCACCUGGGCCACUGGAGAGCAUCCGGCCCCUGUCUGCCCCCCCCCAACCUGGACGUCCAGGCCAACCGAGCGACCACAUGGAAGACGGACAUCCAGCAGCCGCCCUCGAGGCCCAGGACCCUGGGAGCCACUACUCCACCUGCAGCGAGCAUGGCGGCUCUGCUCUGGGAGGGGGCACAGGGUUAGGAUGGAGAUGGCAGCUGCCCUGGGCACUGCCAGCCCUGAAGGGGACACAGAGCCUGAGGCCCCCGGGGCCAGGUGGCUGCUCCCAACCUGAAGAGCUGGGCUGCGUGGGGGCUGGAACUGGAGGCCACUGAUCUGGACACAGGCAGUGAGCUCUGUCUGUGUCAGUCCUUGGCUCUGUGACCUUCGGCCGCCAGGUGUGAAGGAGCCCACAGAGGGAGGGACAGGCCCAGGGCCCCUCCCCAUGGCCCGCCCUGGCCAGGAGCCGGGAAGGAGUGGUCAGGGCUCUCCUGCGUCUGGGGAGCCCACAGAGGGAGGGACAGGCCCAGGGCCCCUCCCCACAGCCCACCCUAGACAGGAGCUGGGAAGGAGUGGUCAGGGCUCUCCUCCUGCGUCCGGGAUCCCUCCCUGGAGGGCCAGGGGC
rnacentral:lncRNA from 1 species